ensembl:lncRNA
GACGGCCAGAAGGAGGGCGAUGAGGACAAAGGGGAGGGAUGGAUAUGGGUCAGGAUGAUGAGACACGCAGAGCCAGACGUGGUUUUUCAGAACGACUCAAAAAAAAACAGCAGCGGCAAUGGAAACGAUGUUUUGCUACUUGGCUUUGAAACCACAAAAAUUCUGUCUACAAAGUCUUGGCACCAACAGGCGGUCGGUUACUCUGCUUGAGAGCUUCAGUGGGGAAGAGCAUGAGUUCUGCACUUCUCUUGGUGCCGUCUGCAUUAGAGGGAACUCUUACACGGCGCUAUGAAGAUGGCCUCUGGACUGAGAUAUUUUUGUCAUCUG